CCUACGGGUGGCAGCAGUGAGGAAUAUUGGUCAAUGGCCGGAAGGCUGAACCAGCCAUGCCGCGUGAAGGUCAGUGCCCUAUGGGCGGUAAACUUCUUUUGUUCGGGAGCAAUAAUGGUCACGUUUGGCCCUACGAGAGUACCGUUCUAAUAAGCAUCGGCUAACUCCGUUCCAGCAGCCGCGGUAAUACGGAGGAUCCGAUCGUUAUCCGGAUUUAUUGGGUUUAAAGGGAGCGUAGGUGGAUUGUUAAGUCAGUUGUGAAAGUUUGCGGCUCAACCGUAAAAUUGCAGUUGAAACUGGCAGUCUGGAGUACAGUAGAGGUGGGCGGAAUUCGUGGUGUAGCGGUGAAAUGCUUAGAUAUCACGAAGAACUCCGAUUGCGAAGGCAGUUCACUGGACUGCAACUGACACUGAGGCUCGAAAGUGUGGGUAUCAAACAGGAUUAGAUACCCGGGUAGUC
rnacentral:rRNA from 1 species